ensembl:misc_RNA Y_RNA Y RNA
GUCUGGUUGGAGUGUAUUGGUGUUUAUAACUAAUUGAUCAAUUAGUUACAGAUUCCUUUGUUCCUUCUCCACUCCCACUGCUUCACUUGACUAGCGCCUCAA